UCCUGCUGUUAACAGGCCGUAGUGUUUAACUAAUCACCUAUCUGAACGAUCAGGCCAGUGCUGCUUCCUCAAUAAAGUUUAUCAUUCUCACGUGUUUUAAGCCUUGUCAGUUUAAACAUUAAAGUGUUUUAAGCCAUUCAAGCAUGAGACAACACGAAAUAGAUUUAAAUACAGUACUUACACGCUGUGAUAGACCUUUUCUGAAAGAAAUUUAAAUGCGGUACUCAGGCGUUGUGAUAGAUAGUUUCUGUUCGCGCCGAUGGUGCCGCACACACACAAAAAGCCACAGCUCGGCUAGGACAGCACACACAGUAGCGAUCAUGGUGGUCAUACAGUUACCGCCCAAACUGUCUCUAAGCACAGAGGUCAUCAUGGAAUUGCGACCCAGCCAGAUCCACCAGGUGCAGCUUCGAGUGCCGUACCAUGGCUGAGCCCAGUUCUUUGCUACACAGGUGAAUGGUAAAGAUGCAGUGAGACCGUGUAGAAGCCUG